GGGUGACUGCGGAGGACAUUAUUGAGAUUUGAACAAGUUGUAGCUGGCUCUGAAAGGAGCAUGUGCACGCUUGGCUCAUCCACUUUUUAACCUUUGUGCACUCUUUGCAAGAGCUUGGUCAACAUUGGUCUUUCACGGCUAGUGAUUUCCUCUCUCUUGUGUUUUUAUCACAAACAUAUUAUGUUGUAGAACGGUUUUUGUGCAAACGAUGCACGUUGAAUAUACAACUUUCAGCAACGGAUCUCUUGGCUCUCGCAUCGAUGAAGAACGCAGCGAAAUGCGAUAAGUAAUGUGAAUUGCAGAAUUCAGUGAAUCAUCGAAUCUUUGAACGCACCUUGCGCUCCUUGGUAUUCCUUGGAGCAUGCCUGUUUGAGUAUCAUGAGACUCUCAACUUGCUACAUUUUUGUAUUGAAGUGUAGCAAGUGUUGGACUUGGAGGUUGUGCUGGCUGCUUUGUUUGAAAAGAUAGCUAGCUCCUCUGAAAUGUAUCAGCAUGAACUUAAUGUGAAUCAACUUUCAGUGUGAUAAUCUUCUACGCUGUAUGUUGCCUUCUGUCGCUCAUGCUUAGAGUUGUCUCUUAGAGACUUUAAUCGAUUUCUGAUCUCAAAUCAGGUAGGACUACCCGCUGAACUUAAGCAUAUCAAUAAGCGGAGGAA
rnacentral:rRNA from 1 species